GAUGAAGAACGCAGCGAAGUGCGAUAAGUAAUGUGAAUUGCAGAAUUCCGUGAAUCAUCGAAUCUUUGAACGCAAAUUGCACUCUCUGGUAUUCCGGAGAGUAUGCCUGUUUGAGGGUCAGUCAAAUAAAAAUCGGGUUGUUGCUGCUGCAUUUGGUGGUGACGCUUCGGAACUGGAUCAUCUUUGCCUUUGGUUAAGUGACCUAAAAUUUCGGAUGAUUUUUUGAACGUAUUUAAAUUUUUUAUGUACGUUUGUAUAUCGAAUAUUAGAUGUGAUCAUUUCUAUGAUUCGCGUCUAUAAUUUUUCAUCAAAUGACCUCAAAUCAGGUAAGAGUACCUGCUGAACUUAAGCAUAUCAAUAAGCGGAGGA
rnacentral:misc_RNA from 1 species